ensembl:lncRNA
GGUUGGGGCUUUCAUCAAGGUGUUUCUAUAGGUUGGGGGCUUUCAACAAGGUAAGUGUUUCUAUAGGUUGGGGGCUUUCAUCAAGGUGUUUCUAUAGGUUGGGGGCUUUCAACAAGGUUAGUGUUUCUAUAGGUUGGGGGCUUUCAUCAAGGUUAGUGUUUCUAUAGGUUAGGGGCUUUCAUCAAGGUGUUUCUAUAGGUUGGGGGCUUUCAUCAAGGUGUUUCUAUAGGUUGGGGGCUUUCAUCAAGGUGUUUCUAUAGGUUGGGGGCUUUCAUCAAGGUGUUUCUAUAGGUGGGGGCUUUCAACAAGGUUAGUGUUUCUAUAGGUUGGGGGCUUUCAUCAAGGUUAGUGUUUCUAUAGGUUGGGGGCUUUCAUCAAGGUGUUUCUUUAGGUUGGGGGCUUUCAACAAGGUUAGUGUUUCUAUAGGUUGGGGGCUUUCAUCAAGGUUAGUGUUUCUAUAGGUUGGGGGCUUUCAUUAGGUUAGUGUUUCUUUAGGUUGGGGGCUUUCAUUAGGUUAGUGUUUCUUUAGGUUGGGGGGGCUUUCAUUAGGUUAGUGUUUCUUUAGGUUGGGGGCUUUCAUUAAGGUUAGUGUUUCUUUAGGUUGGGGGCUUUCAUCAAGGUUAGUGUUUCUUUAGGUUGGGGGCUUUCAUUAGGUUAGUGUUUCUUUAGGUUGGGGGCUUUCAUCAAGGUUAGUGUUUCUUUAGGUUGGGG